ACAAUAGCAAUAUUUCUGGAUCUGAGAAACCAGAAACUCAUUCAUCUUACUCACGCAAAAGGGCUCUCACUCUCGACAUCUUUCAAACUCUCAAUCUCUCGUUAACCCUCAAUCGGCUUGCGCCAACCUCACGAUACACCACUCCCAAUCUCACUCUAAACGCGAAAACCAUGGUUUCAAAAGAAGAUCCAGUAAGAAAGCUUACCUUCGGCGGUGAUUCGGCGGCGAUGGUGAGCUUAUAUCCUCCUCUCCUCGCUAGAUUCUUUCACGCCGUCACCAAAAUCAGGUUUUGUUUAGGAAAUUAGGGUUGUUUCGUGGCCGCCCAGAUUUUAGGUUUUUUGUUUUUCUCCCCUUCAAUCGUUUCCACUCUCACCUUUUAUAUUCAACAGCUAGGGUUUCAGAUUGGCCCAAGGAGAUCAAAAGGGGUCUCUGCGAAAUCCCCUUUAGGGUGCUCAGAAAUUUGAUUGCUCUAUUGAUGUUUGGUCUGGAACGGUGGUCUGGAACGUGAAAACUUGGUGAAAAUUAAAACUUCGGUUAUUUGCAAAGCUUGGGAAUUCACAAUGGGUUCAUGCCAUGAAGUGGUCGGGUCAAAAACAAUUUGGGGCCUCCAAAAUAGUUCCUUUUUUUGGUUGAUGGUAAAAACACGGGGUCAUUGAAUAGCUAUGGAUCUCUCUCUUUUCUAAAGGUUGUUCUGUUAUGAACCUUGUAGAGAAUGUUGGCUAUUGUGCCUGAAAUUGGGCUUGAAAUUGUUCAGGUUUUGGAUACUGAUUGGGUAAUAGGAUUGUGUAUAGAUGGAAUUAGAAAUGAUUGUAAUUUUGAACAUAUUUGUUUCAAGAAUGAAUAGGAAGUUUGAAGGUUAUUGGUUAGUUUGGGAAUUUCGGCUUGGAUGCGGCUACGAAGCGCAUUGGAUGGCGGGGCUGUUUUGGAAUUCUGCAAAGCUUCUUCAUGUUCCACGACUUCAAUAGAUGAAUUGAUCGAGCGACAAGCAGCAGCAGCGGAUUUAACUUUUAGCUGACCCGUACCGUAAAGUUUUAAAAUGUCGGAGAUUAGCUUUAGUGCCUCAAAUUUGUAGUUUCCGUUUGUU